UGGGGAAUUUUGGACAAUGGGCGCAAGCCUGAUCCAGCCAUGCCGCGUGCGGGAAGAAGGCCUUCGGGUUGUAAACCGCUUUUGUCAGGGAAGAAAUCUUCUGAGUUAAUACCUCGGGAGGAUGACGGUACCUGAAGAAUAAGCACCGGCUAACUACGUGCCAGCAGCCGCGGUAAUACGUAGGGUGCAAGCGUUAAUCGGAAUUACUGGGCGUAAAGCGUGCGCAGGCGGUUUUGUAAGACAGAGGUGAAAUCCCCGGGCUCAACCUGGGAACUGCCUUUGUGACUGCAAGGCUUGAGUGCGGCAGAGGGGGAUGGAAUUCCGCGUGUAGCAGUGGAAAUGCGUAGAUAUGCGGAGGAACACCGAUGGCGAAGGCAAUCCCCUGGGCCUGCACUGACGCUCAUGCACGAAAGCGUGGGGAGCAAACAGGAUUAGAUACCCUGGUAGU
rnacentral:rRNA from 1 species